rnacentral:tRNA from 1 species
UGUACUAUAGCUCAGUGGUCUAGAGCGCCAGGCAGACGGCCUGGAGGUCACCGGUUCGAAUCCGGUUGGUACAA